rnacentral:rRNA from 1 species
GCAGAGCACUCUACGGGAGGCAGCAGUGGGGAAUAUUGCACAAUGGGCGCAAGCCUGAUGCAGCCAUGCCGCGUGUAUGAAGAAGGCCUUCGGGUUGUAAAGUACUUUCAGCAGUGAGGAAGGUGGAUAUGUUAAUAGCAUAUUCAUUUGACGUUAGCUGCAGAAGAAGCACCGGCUAACUCCGUGCCAGCAGCCGCGAUAAUACGGAGGGUGCGAGCGUUAAUCGGAAUUACUGGGCGUAAAGCGCAUGCAGGUGGUUUGUUAAGUCAGAUGUGAAAGCCCGGGGCUCAACCUCGGAAUUGCAUUUGAAACUGGCAAACUAGAGUACUGUAGAGGGGGUAGAAUUUCAGGUGUAGCGGUGAAAUGCGUAGAGAUCUGAAGGAAUACCGGUGGCGAAGGCGGCCCCCUGGACAGAUACUGACACUCAGAUGCGAAAGCGUGGGGAGCAAACAGGAUUAGAUACCCUGGUAGG